rnacentral:tRNA from 1 species
GGUAAAAUGGCUGAGAUUAGGCGAUAAAUUGUAAAUUUAUUAACGAAUGUAAAUUCUUUUACCA